UCUUUGACCAUCAUGACUUAGCACAUUUUUUGGGGUAAAAUCACCAUGGGACUCUAAAGUAUGACUCAAACGAGCGCUCGGAUGCGUGCAUUUAUCAGACCUAAAACCCGCGCGGGGUGCUGCCGCGUGGUGGGCCCCGACCUGUUUGGUGACUCUAGAUAACCUUUGGCCGAUCGCUCACCCUCGCAGCGGCGACGACUCAUUCGAAUGUCUGCCCUAUCAACUUUCGAUGGUACUCUACUGUAUGUGCCUGCCAUGGUGACCACGGGUAACGGAUCAGGGUUCGAUUCCGGAGAGGGAGCCUGAGAAAUUGCUAUCACAUCCAAGGAAGGCAGCAGGCGCGCAAAUGACCCAUUCACGACAUGUGGAGGUAGUGACGAAAAAUAACAAUACAGGACUCUUUCGAGGCCCUGUAAUUGGAAUGAGUGUACUUUAAAUCCUUUGNNNNGUACCAAUUGGAGGGCAAGUCUGGUGCCAGCAGCCGCGGUAAUUCCAGCUCCAAUAGCGUAUCUUAAAGUUGCUGCAGUUCAAAAGCUCGUAGUUGGAUCUCGGGGCCGGGCUGAUGGUCCGCCGAAAGGUGUGUCACCGACCCGGUUCUUGCCCCUGCCUUCGGCGCCCCCUCGAUGCUCUUGGUUGAGAGUCUUGCGGGGUUCGAAGCGUUUACUUUAAAAAAAGUAGUGUUCAAAGCAGGCCUAGUUGCACAAGUACUGCUGCUAGGAAUAAUGGAAUAGGACUGGUUCUAUUUUGUGGCUUUUCUCAAUGAACUGGGGCCAUGAUUAAGAGGGACGGCCGGGGGCAUURGUAUUGCGCCGCUAGAGGUGAAAUUGUUGGACCAGCGCAAGACGGACAAAGGGAAAGCAUUUGCCAAGAAUGUUUUCAUUAAUUAAGAACGAAAGUCGGAGGUUCGAAGACGAUCAGAUACCGUCGUAGUUCCGACCAUAAACGAUGCCGAUUAGCAAUUCGGCGGUGUUAUUCCCAUGACCCACCGGUGAGCUACCCGGGAAACCAAAGUCUUUGGGUUCCGGGGGGAGUAUGGUUGCAAAGCUGAAACUUAAAGGAAUUGACGGAAGGGCACCACCAGGAGUGGAGCCUGCGACUUGGUGUCAGAGAUGAGACAGAUCUCUGAGAGGAAUAGGAUUACGUGGCAUGCCUCGGUGAGGGCUUGAGUGUGGCUUUCGUUCCACAUGACUGGUGCCUCACACUUGCAUGUCCGAGCCCGCGAUCACGCCUGUCACGGUAUGAACUGAUGGCACACAGGAGUUUAUGGAUCCCUCGUUGGAUCUCGGAAGGGCGUACAACACCUCCACCUCAUGAGAGGAGGGCUAUACCUGGUUCAGCCAGGAGGAAAGGAUCGUGUGAUACCAGACCUAUCUCAGUGGUUUAUCUCCCCGUCCUAGGAGAUCUGGUGGAUUAGGGUGUCAGACCCACCACCAAGACUUUAUUUGAUUUUGGAAUUGAACUCCAUCGAUGUGGAUAAAGCUUGUCCCGGGGCCAAUGAAGAGCCUUUCGCUGUUCUCAUUUAACCCGGAAACAAGAUGCUAUGCCGCAAAAGGCGGCAUAGCAUCGAAUGCCACGCAGCCGAAUGUGUUACUGCUCCUAAGAAGGUGACCAAGGGCAACAUAGUUUGUUCCCUGUGUAACAAAGUAUACAAAUCGCAGAGAGGUCUCUGCAUAAACGGGCA
rnacentral:rRNA from 1 species